AAGGAUUCCCCUAGUAACGGCGAGUGAAGCGGGAUGAGCUCAAGCUUAAAAUCUCUGUGUCGGUUCGGCAUGGCGAAUUGUAGUCUAUGGAGGCGCUGUCAGUGCGACUAUGUGGGUUAAGUUCCUUGGAAGAGGACAGCAUCGAGGGUGAUACUCCCGUAUGUACCUGUGUAGUUGCGCGUACGACACGUUUUCUUUGAGUCGUGUUGUUUGGGAAUGCAGCACAAAGUAGGUGGUAAAUUCCAUCUAAAGCUAAAUAUUGGUGCGAGACCGAUAGCGAACAAGUACCGUGAGGGAAAGAUGAAAAGAACUUUGAAAAGAGAGUUAAAGAGUACCUGAAACCGCUGAAAGGGAACCGGAUCGUUUCCAGUGUCUAUAAUCUAUGGCAUAUUUCAUUGGCGUGUGGGUGCGUGCAGCGUUUUGGAAGUAGUUUUCUGCUCCUGUCGUUGUUUUGCGCUCGCCUGCUGGUGCCCUGUGCUGUAGUGGGACGUCAGAGUCAAUUCGUAUGCUGCGGGAAAUGGUUACUGGGGAGGUAGGUCACUUCGGUGGCUGUUAUAUCCUGGUGACUAGUCGUCGUGGUUGGGAUUGAGGUGCCUACAAUGUGCUUUCGAGUCUGUGGGUCUCUCGUUUGGCCGUUUGCCUUGAUAGCUUGCUAUGUUGGUGAAUGUGUCGGGCGAUUGGGAUCUGUAGUAACUUGUUGCCGUUCGGGACUUUGACGA
rnacentral:rRNA from 1 species